rnacentral:misc_RNA from 1 species
UCCAAAUAGAACAAAUUUUUUUUUAUCAAGAAUGGGGAAACUCAUCUGCGACUCAACAGCAUCGUCGCCGGUGAUUCCAUGGCGGGAUCCUACCUCUACUCCAUCAUCUAUCGACCUCGUUGACCAAUCAUCGCCGGCGAUCACCCCUGUCGCCGUCGUUGAUACAUCUUCCUGGGAAAAUGUUUCAUCUUUAGAGGACCAGCAGAGAAGGCAUUUGAUAAAGAUUCAGUCUAAAGGAGUGCUGUGGAAACAUCCUCAGGAUCAGAAUGCUUCUAUGGUUUUCCGGUUGAGCCACGGCGGAGAAGUCGAGGCAGACGGAAACUGUCUUUUUACGGCUUGUGGGAAAUCAAUGGGGGUUAAAACGGUGUCGUACGCGAGAGAUCUGAGACGGAGGACUGUGCGGAGGUUCUUGGAAGAUCUUGGAUCGGAGAAAGAAGCGAUUGAAUCGGCGAUUAAGCACAUGUAUUCUCCGGAUCUGAAAUCUGGUUGGGGUAUUCAUGUGGUUCAAGAGCUGAAGCUAUUAGCUAAGAAGGACGAUAGGGAGGUUCUGGAAUCGGCUAUUUCCGAGCUUGUUCACCUCGGAAUGCAGCGAGAAUUGGCUGCUGAGUCUAUAUACAAAGAGAGAUGCAUAGCUGUGGAUGAUGGUCCAAGUUGGGCAAAGUACAUGUCGAUUUCUGGUUCACCUGAUGAUGAAUAUGAUAUCAUCACUUUGCAGUAUACUGAGGACGGUUUAUUAACUGUAGAUGAAAAUUGUGAUGGUCAUGCGGCUGCAUUUGGAGACGAUAUAGCUAUUGAGUGUCUUGCAACCGAGUUUAAAAGAGAGAUCUUUGUGGUGCAAGCUCAUGGAUCGGAUGCAAUGGUUGAUGAAGAAAAUUGUGUCUUCUUUCUGCCACAUCGUCCCAAAUGUGAAAUAUGUGAACCUCCUUUCUUCCUUUUCAUGAAAGGAACAGGUUGGUGUGGCGCCGGCGCUGACCAUUACGAGCCUCUCAUCGCCCACUGUUCUUCGUUUGUUUCACAGGAGAAAGUGGCAGUGGUACUUUAAGGUCUUCAGUCCUGCAAUUUUGUGGCUUAGAUUUCGAGUAGAG